AUUAUUAGUGUUGAAAAAGGGAGAGUAGACUUUGAGGUGGGUAAUGAAGAAAUUAAACCUAGUCCCGAAAAACUAAUAAUAAAAAUUGAUCCAGAACCACCACCACACGUUCAGACCUCUGAAUCUCCCUAUAGGAAAAAGAAAAUAAAAAGUGAAGGGUAUGGGAGAUGGGUUGAUAAGUGGCGAUGGAAACCAAAAUUAAUUAGGAGUUUAAUCGGAGAUUCAUAGUGC
rnacentral:lncRNA from 1 species